rnacentral:rRNA from 1 species
GAAAUCGUGACCAGCCAUGCCGCGUGGAGUGUAUGAGGGCCCUCUGGGUUGUAAACUUCUUUUAUCUGGGAUUAAAAAAGGGCAUUCUUACUCACUUGACGGUACCGUAUGAAUAAGCACCGGCUAACUCCGUGCCAGCAGCCGCGGUAAUACGGAGGGUGCAAGCGUUAUCCGGAUUCACUGGGUUUAAAGGGUGCGUAGGUGGGCAGGUAAGUCAGUGGUGAAAUCUCCGAGCUUAACUCGGAAACUGCCAUUGAUACUGUCUGUCUUGAAUAUCCUGGAGGUGAGCGGAAUGUGUCAUGUAGCGGUGAAAUGCUUAGAUAUGACAUAGAACACCAAUUGCGAAGGCAGCUCACUACGCGGUUAUUGACACUGAGGCACGAAAGCGUGGGGAUCAAACAGGAUUAGAUACCCUGGUAGUCCACGCCCUAAACGAUGGAUACUCGACAUUUGCGAUACACUGUUGGUGUCUGAGCGAAAGCAUUAAGUAUCCCACCUGGGAAGUACGACCGCAAGGUUGAAACUCAAAGGAAUUGACGG